GGCGAACGCUGGCGGCGUGCCUAAUACAUGCAAGUUGAGCGCUGAAGGUUGGUACUUGUACCAACUGGAUGAGCAGCGAACGGGUGAGUAACGCGUGGGGAAUCUGCCUUUGAGCGGGGGACAACAUUUGGAAACGAAUGCUAAUACCGCAUAAAAACUUUAAACACAAGUUUUAAGUUUGAAAGAUGCAAUUGCAUCACUCAAAGAUGAUCCCGCGUUGUAUUAGCUAGUUGGUGAGGUAAAGGCUCACCAAGGCGAUGAUACAUAGCCAACCUGAGAGGGUGAUCGGCCACAUUGGGACUGAGACACGGCCCAAACUCCUACGGGAGGCAGCAGUAGGGAAUCUUCGGCAAUGGACGAAAGUCUGACCGAGCAACGCCGCGUGAGUGAAGAAGGGUUUCGGAUCGUAAAACUCUGUUGGUAGAGAAGAACGUUGGUGAGAGUGGAAAGCUCAUCAAGUGACGGUAACUACCCAGAAAGGGACGGCUAACUACGUG
rnacentral:rRNA from 1 species